UUAGAGGAAGUAAAAGUCGUAACAAGGUUUCCGUAGGUGAACCUGCGGAAGGAUCAUUAUUGAAUAAACUUGAUGUGGUUGUAGCUGGCAGACUUUCUGCAUGUGCCCGCCCGUCAUAUUUAUAUUUCCACCUGUGCACUUUCUGUAGAUGUAGGGAAAAAAGGUUUUCGAGGUUAUUUGCUUUUCUUCGGGAAAGUUUGUAGCUUCACUUUUCAUCUCAUCUAUGUUUUAUCAUAUACUCCAAAAAUAUAACAGAAUGUAUCAAUGGGCUUUUUUUUGCCUAUAAUAAAAACUAUACAACUUUCAGCAACGGAUCUCUUGGCUCUCGCAUCGAUGAAGAACGCAGCGAAAUGCGAUAAGUAAUGUGAAUUGCAGAAUUCAGUGAAUCAUCGAAUCUUUGAACGCACCUUGCGCUCCUUGGUAUUCCAGGGAGCAUGCCUGUUUGAGUGUCAUUAAAUUCUCAACUUUAGCAACUUUUAUUGGUUUGUUCGAGUUGGAUUUGGGGGCUUGUUUGUUGGCUUUAGAAAGUCAACUCCCCUGAAAUGUAUUAGCCAGUUUGCCUUGACUUGGUCUAUUUGGUGUGAUAAUUAUCAAUGCCAUUUGGAUUGUCUUGUAGCACUGCUUCUAAUGGUCCAUUUGACUUGGACAAUUUACUUUGACAACUUGACCUCAAAUCAGGUAGGAUUACCCGCUGAACUUAAGCAUAUCAAUA
rnacentral:rRNA from 1 species